rnacentral:rRNA from 1 species
AUUGAACGCUAGCGGGAUGCUUUACACAUGCAAGUCGAACGAGUGGCGGACGGGUGAGUAAUAUCUCGGAACGUGCCCAGUAGCGGGGGAUAACUACUCGAAACAGUGGCUAAUACCGCAUACUAUUGCAGCGGCCGAUAUCGGAUUAGCUAGUUGGUGGGGUAACGGCUCACCAAGGCAACGAUCCGUAGCUGGUUUGAGAGGAUGACCAGCCACACGGGGACUGUGACACGGCCCAGACUCCGACGGGAGGCAGGAGUGGGGAAUUUUGGACAAUGGGGGAAACCCUAAUCCAGCCAGUCGGCGUGUAUGAGAAGGCCUUCGGGUUGUAAAGUACUUUUGGCAGAGAAGCGGUAUCUGCAGAAUAAGCACCGGCUAACUACGUGCCAGCAGCCGCGGUAAUAC